rnacentral:pre_miRNA from 1 species
UGUAAACAUCCUUGACUGAAAGCUGGUGUUUCAUAUAGGGCUUUUCAGUCGGAUGUUUGCAGCU